rnacentral:rRNA from 1 species
AGCUUGCUUCUUUUGCUGACGAGCGGCGGACGGGUGAGUAAUGCCUGGGAAUAUACCCUGAUGUGGGGGAUAACUAUUGGAAACGAUAGCUAAUACCGCAUAAUCUCUUCGGAGCAAAGAGGGGGACCUUCGGGCCUCUCGCGUCAGGAUUAGCCCAGGUGGGAUUAGCUAGUUGGUGGGGUAAUGGCUCACCAAGGCGACGAUCCCUAGCUGGUCUGAGAGGAUGAUCAGCCACACUGGAACUGAGACACGGUCCAGACUCCUACGGGAGGCAGCAGUGGGGAAUAUUGCACAAUGGGGGAAACCCUGAUGCAGCCAUGCCGCGUGUAUGAAGAAGGCCUUCGGGUUGUAAAGUACUUUCAGUUGUGAGGAAGGCGUUGGAGUUAAUAGCUUCAGCGUUUGACGUUAGCAACAGAAGAAGCACCGGCUAACUCCGUGCCAGCAGCCGCGGUAAUACGGAGGGUGCGAGCGUUAAUCGGAAUUACUGGGCGUAAAGCGCAUGCAGGCGGUCUGUUAAGCAAGAUGUGAAAGCCCGGGGCUCAACCUCGGAACAGCAUUUUGAACUGGCAGACUAGAGUCUUGUA